GCUAGUUCAAGUUGCCAUAGCAAGGCUGUUCCUCUGUUAGCUAUCAUUCGCAAAACUAAACCAACGGCUUUGGUUUAACGUAUUUCUUGAGGUAGCAUUUAUUUGCUCUGUUGCUGCUGGACAUAGGCAGUGUUUCGCAGAGUUCACAGGAGUCUCACAGGACUUUAUAAGUUGGCUAACGUUUGGUCAGCUAGCUAUCGUUCAUAGUAGUUUCCACUUGUUGCUAGCCUGGAGGAGCAUCACAACAAUGCCUGCUACAGUGAUUGAUAGGGGCAGUUUGAAUUGGAGUGUGCUGCUGGUCAGAUAGCUCUCUGUCUCAACGGGUUGUCACGGUAACAAUGACAAAGCUCCCACAUCUGCUAAGUAUGACAACAAUAUAUAUUGUAGAAAAAGUUCAUAACCAGCCCAGUUUGUUCGUUAAUCUGAUUAAUGUAGCCGGUAACGGUUAGCGUUUUCUGCAGGAGAAGCUAGUGCUGGCUAUCAUCAGCCGUUUAUCGUCGCCUCCACUGUAAACCUGCCCUAAACUAUGGAUACAUCCAGUGAAACGGAGUCAUACGACAGGACGAGAGUGCACCGGCGUCGGGGGCGUGAAGCCCACCACAGACCGGGCCGGGACAGGGGCAGAGCCGGUGGGAGUGAGCCUCGACCCGCAGAUAUGUCCGAGAAGAUCAGCACACUGGCGAGCACUUUACAAGAUACCAGUAGAAACUUGACCAAAGUAGACCGGAUGCUGGGCCAUUACAGGGAGCAUACAGACGAUCAGGCUGAAGCCAUGACACUGCUCAGGGACAACCUGGAGGAGUCCAUCAGCCAGCUGCAGACACAGAGGGUGAGCAGGACCAACGGAGCUCCGAGUGCUUCAGCUUCAGCCUCCACCCUGCACACAAGUGACCUGGAAGCUGGCUCAGGAUCAGAUGACCAGCGUUUCUUCCCUACUUCUCCACUGAAGGACUAUACAAGCACUCCAGACAGGACGCGGAGGUCUCAGUCCGCCGGUGUUCGCUUCAAAGAUGCCAGCCUGCCAGGAGAGGAUAUUCACGUUUUGCAUCAAUCCUUGAGGGAUCUGCACUGUGGCCAGCUGAGACUGUCUGAUGACCUGGAUAGAGAAAUCCUCCGGAGGAAUAGGGCUGAUAUUGACACCCGGCGAGCGAUGGAGAGCCUCACAGAGCUCACACCCGCUUCCCCGAGACAGGCCUCGGUGUCGUCUCGUGUGGAGCGGCGUCUGCAGGAGCUGGAGAGAGAGAUGCAUUGUGGGCAAGGCGGCGUGGAGCGAGAGAGAAGGCCCAAGCAGCGGGUGGCCGUGUCUGACGAGCUCCAUGAGACUUCAGGGAGACAAAACGUUCAGGGCCAUGAGAGAGAGGAGGCUGUUGCAGCCAGGCUACUCAAGGCAGAGAAAUCUAAGAUGGAGCAGGAGCUGGACAGAGCUAGAAGACUACUUGAGCAGUCUGAGGAUAGCAGAGAGUCCCUCUCUCAACAGGUGGAGGACAUGCGUGGUGAGCUGCUGAGGACGAAGAAGGAGAAGACUGAGCUUCAGAGGGCCCGGCUGGAGACUUUUCAGCCCGUCGCUCCGCCACAUGGCACACACGCUGACAGGGAGCGAGGGCCAGCAGAUUAUUUGAGCCUGGAGAAAGAAGUGGUGGAGCUGCGGACCCAGCUGCGCACGGCCUCUGUUCGCGGUGAGGUGGAGGAACUGAAGAGGACUCUGGACCGCAAGGAGAAGGAGAGGCUCCACCUCAGCAUACAGGUGGAGGAAUUGUCAUCAGACCUGCCGCGGCGGGAACAGCAGCAGCUCCGAAUGCUGGAUCAGUUAAAAGAAACGCAGAGCCGAGGACAGGCAGAGAGGAGGGAGACGGAGGCUCUACUCCAGGAGAGCACGAGGAGCAGAGAGGAAUUAAAGAGCAGGGCCCAGGAGGCUGUGCGCCAGUGGAGGGCAAAGUGCAGGAGAUUGCAGAAGGAACUGGAGGAGGCGAGCUCCCAGGCUCAAUUUCACACCGACAAGGCCUCGCAGGCAGCUAGGGAAAAAGAGAGCUCUCAGGCUCAGCUGAAGGCGCUGAGCCAGCAGACUGAGGCAGCCCGCAGGGAGCUCGCCGAAAUCCUAGGCCGCUUGGCUCAGCGCGAGGAAGAGCUCCACCGCAAGGACGUGGAGCUGUCUGAAGCCCGCCAGCGCCAGCUGUCCCUGGAACAGGACAACCGGGAGGUGCGGGAGGCCUCUGCCGCCCUGGAGGAGGAGACUCAGCGUCUGGCUGCUGUCCAGACACGGCUGAAGGAAGAGAACCAGAGUCUGGAAGAAAAAGCUGACAGCCUAGCCCGUCGUUGUCAGAGAGACCAGGAUACACAGGCCGAGCUCCAGGCCUCAAUGAAGCAGAUGACUUCGGCCCAUUCUCGGCUAGUCCAGCUAUUGGCCGAGGAGGAGAGCUCCAAGAAGGCGCUCCAGAAAGGCUUGUUGGAGCUCCAGGCCAAGCUGACAGCCGUGCAGGAGGAGCGGGCCGCAGUGGGGCAGCAGCUGCAGCUGGAGAGAGAGGUGCAUCAGACAGAACUGGACAAUACGAGGGCCAUGAUGGAGGACACCAGGACCAAGAAGUAUCGUGAAGUGCAGGACAAUCUCACUCUCUGCCGUCAAGAGCGGGAGGAAAUACAGGCACACCUGGAGGAGGUUAAGGCAGAUGCAGCGUCAGACAAGGAGCUGUGUGCAGCUCUGCGCAUCAAGCUGGAUAGGAUGAAGGAUGAGUGUGAUAAGCUGGCAGCACAGCUGAGCACAAAAGACGAGGCACAUGCACUUCUCCGCAGAAAGUACCAGCUACUCAAACAGGAUCUGGAUGACAAAGUCAGGUCGGGUGAGCGGAGGCGCGCUUCAGAGUCGGAGCGUGUUAGGCUGGAGGAGAAGGUGUUGCUGAUGGAAGCAGAGCAAGAGGCAGUCCUUACCUCCAUGGGUGAGGAACUGGAUGCAGCCUGUCGCAGCCUGGCUAGGAACGGUGAAGACAAACUACAGGCCAUCUCCCAGAAACCUGGAUUAGUGAAAGACCCCCACCGCUGGCUAGCUGAGACAAAGACCAAGAUACGCUGGCUGUGUGAGGAGGUGCGGGAGUGCAACACAAGAGAACAGCGCCUGAGGAAGCAGCAACAACAGACCAGGGAUCAGUUAAAGGCCCUGAGGCAGAGCCAGGACUCUGAGCAGACGGCUCUCCUGCAGCGCCUCGAUCAACAGGAGAAGCUGCUGCACUCCCUCGACACUGAAAAGAGAGAGCUGUUGGACAGGAGUCGCAGGAAGGAGGAAGAAAUGCGGAGCCUUCAGGAAGGUGUAUUGGAUCUGGAGAUGAACACAAGAGCAGCCCUGGACCACUUGGAGUCAUUCCCAGAGAAACAAUGUCUGAUGGAGAACUUCAAAGAUUUGGAGGAGUCCCAGCGGCAGAGGGAGAUGGUGGAGCAGCGCUACAGCAAGUACAAAGAGAUCGUGUGGGACCUGCAGCACCAGCUGGACGAGUCCAAAUGCAGAAUCCAGGAGUACAGAGUAUGAAACACUCACACACACGGACAGGAGGAGAAGCUGGACGCGACCUCCAGGAGCCUGAGGCUGGCGGCUCUUUCUUCCUCUAUCAAAGGGCCCAGCACCUUCCUUAGCAGCACGCUGAGACCUGACACACCCUCGCCUCACAGACGCCUGACCAGUUCAGACCUGGAUGAGUCCCCAGUGCACGGGGACAAACCCCGCACAAAUUAGCUCAACCUCAAGUGAACCUUCGUCGAAAUGUCUACAAAACCGAACACACGGUGCUUACAGCUGAUUCUACCGGCCUGCUGCUCAUCCAGAACAAAGAAACUACUUGACUGUACGAGGAGGCCUUUGCACUCAACACUAAUCCUCCUCCACUACCUCAACCAUCACUGAAGGUGCUCAGGAGCAGAGGGCAAGACUGAGAGAUUUCACAGCAUACUUUGAGAAGCACUUCGGAGGAGCUAUAAGUUUGGACACUGUAAGUGGGGAUAUACUGUAAAGUGCUAAAUGUUAUUUAUAAGAACCCACAUUGAAUGUAUUUGAUGGAUAUGAAGAAUACUAAAACCAAAAUGGUUCCACUGUUACAUUUCUUGCCAUUGUUACAUUUUUACGACUAAGUUUCUUUUUUAAAUACUGUUCGCUUUAUGACCAAAUUCUUAUUAUCAUGCAAACUGUGCUAAAACACUCAAAUGGAAAACUGGUGCCUUUUCAAAGUAGUUUUGCUUUUUGUUGUUGUCUUCAUCAUGACAAUGUGACAUCUCUUUAUGUAUUGCCCUAUUGAUGACUUUCUCCUUUUUGUUUUAUGCAGUAUAUAGUUUAAAAGAAAAAGCACAAAUAUGUCUAUUUUUCAUGAAAUGUGAUGCCAAUAUAUGCACUAUGAAUAAAUCUCCAUGCAGCCAAAUGUCUGUUUUUAUAAGCCCA